rnacentral:rRNA from 1 species
AAACUAACAAGGAUUCCCCUAGUAGCGGCGAGCGAAGCGGGAAGAGCUCAAAUUUGUAAUCUGGCGUCCUCCGGGCGUCCGAGUUGUAAUCUAUAGAGACGUUUUCCGUGCCGGACCGUGUCCAAGUCCCUUGGAACAGGGUAUCAAAGAGGGUGACAAUCCCGUACUUGACACGACGACCGGUGCUCUGUGAUACGUUUUCUACGAGUCGAGUUGUUUGGGAAUGCAGCUCAAAAUGGGUGGUAAAUUCCAUCUAAAGCUAAAUAUAGGCGAGAGACCGAUAGCGAACAAGUACCGUGAGGGAAAGAUGAAAAGCACUUUGGAAAGAGAGUUAAACAGUAUGUGAAAUUGUUGAAAGGGAAACGAUUGAAGUCAGUCAUGUCCAUUGGAUUCAGCUGGUUCUGCCAGUGUAUUUCCUUUGGACGGGUCAACAUCAGUUUGAGCCGGCGGAUAAUGGCAGAGGGAAUGUGGCACCCCCGGGUGUGUUAUAGCCCUUUGUCGCAUACGUCGGCCCAGACUGAGGAAUGCAGCUCGCCUUUAUGGCC